GGGUCGUUAGCUCAGUUGACUUUUAAUCAAUUGGUCGCAGGUUCGAAUCCUGCACGACCCACCA
rnacentral:tRNA from 4 species